rnacentral:rRNA from 1 species
GACGAACGCUGGCGGCGUGCUUAACACAUGCAAGUCGAACGGUAAGGCCCUCGGGUACACGAGUGGCGAACGGGUGAGUAACACGUGGGUGAUCUGCCCCCUACUCUGGGAUAAGCCUGGGAAACUGGGUCUAAUACCGGAUAUGACCUCCUUCUGCAUGGUUGGUGGUGGAAAGUUUUUUCGGUAGGGGAUGAGCCCGCGGCCUAUCAGCUUGUUGGUGGGGUAAUGGCCUACCAAGGCGACGACGGGUAGCCGGCCUGAGAGGGCGACCGGCCACACUGGGACUGAGACACGGCCCAGACUCCUACGGGAGGCAGCAGUGGGGAAUAUUGCACAAUGGGCGAAAGCCUGAUGCAGCGACGCCGCGUGGGGGAUGACGGCCUUCGGGUUGUAAACCCCUUUCAGUCGGGACGAAGCGAGAGUGACGGUACCGAUAGAAGAAGCACCGGCCAACUACGUGCCAGCAGCCGCAGUAACAC